GUGAGUAACGCGUAUGCAACUUACCUAUCAGAGGGGGAUAACCCGGCGAAAGUCGGACUAAUACCGCAUGAAGCAGGGGCCCGAAUUGGGAUAUUUGCUAAAGAUUCAUCGCUGAUAGAUAGGCAUGCGUUCCAUUAGGCAGUUGGCGGGGUAACGGCCCACCAAACCGACGAUGGAUAGGGGUUCUGAGAGGAAGGUCCCCCACAUUGGUACUGAGACACGGACCAAACUCUACNGGGAGGCAGCAGUGAGGAAUAUUGGUCAAUGGGCGUAAGCCUGAACCAGCCAAGUCGCGUGAGGGAUGAAGGUUCUAUGGAUCGUAAACCUCUUUUAUAAGGGAAUAAAGUGCGGGACGUGUCCCGUUUUGUAUGUACCUUAUGAAUAAGGAUCGGCUAACUCCGUGCCAGCAGCCGCGGUAAUACGGAGGAUCCGAGCGUUAUCCGGAUUUAUUGGGUUUAAAGGGUGCGUAGGCGGCCUUUUAAGUCAGCGGUGAAAGUCUGUGGCUCAACCAUAGAAUUGCCGUUGAAACUGGGGGGCUUGAGUAUGUUUGAGGCAGGCGGAAUGCGUGGUGUAGCGGUGAAAUGCUUAGAUAUCACGCAGAACCCCGAUUGCGAAGGCAGCCUGCCAAGCCAUGACUGA
rnacentral:rRNA from 1 species